CCUACGGGCGGCAGCAGUGAGGAAUAUUGGUCAAUGGGAGAGAUCCUGAACCAGCCAAGCCGCGUGAGGGAAGACGGCCCUAUGGGUUGUAAACCUCUUUUGUCGUAGAACAAAACCCGGGACGUGUCCCGGACUGCGUUUAUCCGAAGAAAACGCAUCGGCUAACUUCGUGCCAGCAGCCCCGGUAAUACGGGGGAUACGAGCGUUAUACGGAUUUAUUGGGUUUAAAGGGUGCGUAGCGGGUCCGUUAAGUCAGCGGUAAAAUUGCGGGGCUCAACCACGACGAGCCGUUGAAACUGGCAGACUUGAGUUGGCGAGAGGUACGCGGAAUGCGAGGUGUAGCGGUGAAAUGCAUAGGUAUAGCGAAGAACUCCGAUUGCGAAGGCAGCGGACCGGCGCCAGACUGACGCUGAGGCACGAAAGCAUGGGGAUCGAACAGGAUUAGAUACCCGGGUAGUC
rnacentral:rRNA from 1 species